rnacentral:rRNA from 1 species
UAGUUUUUUUGGAAAUAAAUUUAAUUUACAAAUUUUUAACUUUUUGGUUAUUUAUUUAAUUGAAAAGUUUAUUUAUUUGAAUAUCUUAAGGGAUAAGCUUUAAGAUAAAUUAUUAAAAAUUAAUAAUAAUAAUAUAAAAUGUAUGCUUAGAAUUAGCAAUCGUUUUAAAGUUUGUUAUAAAUUAUUUUAUGAAUUAUAUUAUUUAUUAUAUUUUAAUUUAUUUAUAAAAAUUUUUUUAUUAAUUAAGUAUAAAAAGGAAUAAUGAUGUAAUUAGUAUAUUUUUUGUUUAUGUAAUUUUAUAUGAUAAGUUUGUAUAAAGAACUCGGCAAAAAUUUUACCCGCCUGUUUAACAAAAACAUGUCUUUUUGAGUUAUUUUUAAAGUCUGACCUGCCCACUGAAGUUAUUUAAAUGGCCGCAGUAUUCUAACUGUGCAAAGGUAGCAUAAUCAUUAGUCUUUUAAUUGAAG